UGCUCUUCUUGACUGCUUCAAUUUCCAUGGUUCCAGUGCCCUUCACUUCUUCUGCUGGUAGGUCAGGUGCUGAUUUGUUUUCUUCCAUCUCAACAGGUUCAGCAUUCUCGAGCUCUUGUAGUUCUGACACUUGUGCUUCUGGUAUAUCAUCUGUUGCCUCAGCUGCCAUUACAUGUUCUUCAGGAGCUGCCUCAUCUGCAUGAGCAACAUUGCCUCUUACAUCCUCGGUGAGCUCACUGAUGUUUACAUCAGCGAUCUCGUUGAUUGCUUCAGUUUUCUUGGCUUCAGUCUCCUUCACCUCUUCUGCCGACAGCUCAUUUGCUGAUAUGUUUUCUUCCACUUCAAUAGGUUCAGUAUUCUUGAUUUCUUCUAGGUCUAGCUCUUGUGCUCGUGGGAUAUCAACUGGUGCCUCAGUUGCUAUUACAUGCUCUUCAGGAGCAGCCUCAUCUGCAGGAGCAACAUUGCUUGUCACAUCCUCAGUGAGUUCGCUGAUGUUUGCAUCAGGGCUCUUGUUGAUUGCUUCAGUUUCCUUCACCACUUCUGCUUGCAGGCCACUUGCUGAUCUAUUUUCUUCCACCUCAACUGGUUCAACACUCUUGAUCUCUUCUAGUUCCGGCUCCUGUGCCUGUGGUAUAUCAAAUGUUGUCUCAGCUACUGUUACAUGCUCUGCAUGAGGUUCCUCGUCUGCAGGCACAACGUUGCUUUUCACAUCCUCAUUGAGCUCACUGAUGUUUGCAUCAGUCCUUUUGCUGAUUGCUUCAGUUUCCUUCACCUCUUCUUCUGGCAGGUCACCUGCUUCAGUAUUCUUGAUCUCUUCUAGCUCUGGCUCUUGUGCAUGUGGUAUAUCGACUGUUGUCUCAGCUACUGUUACAUGUUCUUUAUGAGCUGCCUCAUCUGUAAGAGCAAUGUUGCAUUUCAUAUCUUCAGUAAGCUCACUGAUGUUUGCAUCAGUGCUCUCAUUGAUUGCUUCAGUGUCCUUCACCUCUUCUGCCGGUAUGUCACUCGCUGAUGUGUUUUCUUCCACCUCAACAGGUUCAGUAUUCUCGAUCUCUUCUAGUUCUGGUUCUUGUGCUCGUGGAAUAUUAACUGUUCCCUCAGUUGCUAUUAUAUGCUCUUCAUGAGCUGCCUCGUCUGCAGGAUUGACACUGCUUGUCACAUCCUCAAUGAGCUCGCUGAUGUUUGCAUCAAUGCUCUCGUUGAUUGCUUCAGUUUCCUUCACCUCUUCUGCUGGCAAGUUACCUGCUGAUCUGUUCUCCUCCACCUCAACAGGUUCAACAUUCUCAAGAUCCUUUAGUUCCGGCGCUUGUGCUUGUGGUAUAUCAACCGUUGCCUCAGCUGCUAUUACAUGUUCUUCAGGAGCUGCCUCUUCUGCAGGAGUAACAUUGCUUUUCAUAUCCUCAGUGAGCUCACUAAUGCUUGCAUCAGUGCUCUCAUUGAUUGCUUCAGUGUCCUUCACCUUUUCUGCUGGCAGGUCACUUGCUGGUAUGUUUUCUUCCACCUUAACAGGUCUAGUAUUCUGGAUCUCUUCUACUUCUGGCUCUUGUGCUUGUGGUAUAUCGACUGUAUUAUCAGCUACCGUUACAUGUUCUUCAGGAGCUGCCUCGUCUGCAAGAGCAACAUUGCUUUUCACAUCUUCAGUAAGCUCAUUGUUGUUUGCAUCAGUGCUCUCGUUGAUUGCUUCAGUCUCCACGGCUUCACUAUCUUUCACCUCUUCUGCUGGCAGAUCAUUUUCUGAUACAUAUGCUUCCACUUCAGCAGGUUCAGUGUUCUUGGUCUCUUCUAGUUCUGGCUCUUGUGUUCGUGGUAUAUCAACUGUUGCGGCAGUUGCUAUUACAUGUUCUUCAGGAGCUGCCUCGUCUGCACACACGAGAUUGCUUUUCACAUCCUCAGUAAGCUUACUGAUGUUUGCAUCAAUGCUCUCGUUGAAUGCUUCAGUUUCCUUGGCUUCAGUGUCCUUCAUCUCUUCUGCCGGCAUGUCACUAGCUGAUAUGUUUUCUUUCACUUCAACAGGUUCAAUAUUCUUGAUCUCUUCUAGUUCCGGCUCUUGUGCUUGUGCUAUAUCAACUGUUGCCUCAGUUGCUAUUACAUGUUCUUCAGGAGCAGCCUCGUCUGCAAGAGCAACGUUACUUUCCACAUCCUCAGCGAUCUCACUGAAGUUUGCAUCAGUGCUCCCAUUGGUUGCUUCAGUUUCCUUGGCUUCAUUGCCGUUCACCUCUUCUGCCGGCAGGUCACUCGCUGAUAUGUUUUCUUCCACCUCAACAGGUUCAGUAUUCUUGAUCUCUUCUACUUCUGGCUCUUGUGCAUGUGGUAUAUCAACUGUAUCAUCAGCUACUGUUACAUGUUCUUCAGGAGCUGCUUCGUCUGCAAGAGCAACAAUGUUUUUCACAUCUUCAGUGAGCUCACUGUUGUUUGUGUUAGUGCUCUCGUUGAUUGUUUCAGUCUCCAUGGCUUCAGUAUCCUUCACCUCUUCUGCUGGCAGAUCAUUUGCUGAUAUGUUUUCUGCCACUUCAGCAGGUUCAGUAUUCUUGGUCUCUUCUAGUUCUGGCUCUUGUGCUUCUGGUAUAUCAACUGUUGCCUCAGGUGCCAUUACAUGCUCUUCAGGAGCUACCUCCUCUGUAAGGGCAACAUUGUUUUGCACAUCUUCAAUGAGAUCGCUAAUGUUUGCGUCACUGCUCUCAUUGUUUGCUUCAGUUUCCCCCAUCUCUUCUGCAGGCAGGUCGCUUGCUGAUCUAGUUUCUUCCACCUCAACAGGUUCAGUAUUCUUGACCUCUUCUAGUUUCGGCUCUUGUGCUUGUGGUACAUCAACUGUUCUCUCAGCUACUGUUACAUGUUCAUCAUGAGCUGCCUCGUCUGUAAGAGAAACAUUGCUUUGCACAUCUUCAGUGAGCUCACUGUUGUUUGCAUCAGUGCUGUCGUUGAUUGCUUCUGUUUCCACGGUGUCAGUAUCCUUCACAUUUUUCGCUGGCAGAUCACUUGCUGAUGUGUUCCCUUCCACUUCAGCAG
rnacentral:lncRNA from 1 species